UACGUAGGGUGCAAGCGUUGUCCGGAAUUAUUGGGCGUAAAGAGCUCGUAGGCGGUCUGUCGCGUCGGCUGUGAAAACCCGGAGCUCAACUCCGGGCCUGCAGUCGAUACGGGCAAACUGGAGUACUGGCAGGGGAGACUGGAAUUCCUGGUGUAGCGGUGAAAUGCGCAGAGAUGUGGAGGAAUACCCGAUGGCGAAGGCAGCCCCCUGGGAUAACACUGACG
rnacentral:rRNA from 1 species